GAAAUUGCGUAGAUAUAUGGAAGAACACCAGUGGCGAAGGCGGCUUUCUGGUCUGUAACUGACGCUGAGGCUCGAAAGUGUGGGUAGCAAACAGGAUUAGAUACCCUGGUAGUCCACGCCGUAAACGAUGAGUGCUAGGUGUUGGAGGGUUUCCGCCCUUCAGUGCCGCAGCUAACGCAUUAAGCAUUCCGCCUGGGGAGUACGACCGCAAGGUUGAAACUCAAAGGAAUUGACGGGGACCCGCACAAGCGGUGGAGCAUGUGGUUUAAUUCGAAGCAACGCGAAGAACCUUACCAGGUCUUGACAUCCUUUGACCACUCCAGAGAUGGAGCGUUCCCUUCGGGGACAAAGUGACAGGUGGUGCAUGGUUGUCGUCAGCUCGUGUCGUGAGAUGUUGGGUUAAGUCCCGCAACGAGCGCAACCCUUAUUACUAGUUGCCAGCAUUUAGUUGGGCACUCUAGUGAGACUGCCGGUGACAAACCGGAGGAAGGUGGGGAUGACGUCAAUCAUCAUGCCCUUAUGCCUGGGCUACACACGUGCUAAAUGGAUGUACAACGAGUUGCGAACCGCGAGGUGAGCUAUCUCUUAAGCCGUCUCAUUCGGAUUGUAGCUGCACUCGCUACUGAAUCGGAAUCGCUAGUAUCGCGACA
rnacentral:rRNA from 1 species